AUUAAAUUAGAAAAAUGCCAAAUAAAAUCAUUUGGUUGUCUUAGAACUUUGGAUCCCACUGUGUUUAUUGCUAUUCAAAAUUUAAAUGAUUGUAUUUCUCUUGUUACAUUUUUAAUGGAUCUUGAGUGUAGUUACCACCAAAUUAGAAUCGAUUAAUUAAAUCUCUACUAAAUCUGACAGCAAAAUAAGAGGGACACCGAGCUGCUUCUUGGAGUUGAUGCUCAGGGUCUUCACAUCUACAGCCCCAACAACAAGCUCAGCCCCAACAAAUCCUUCCCCUGGAGUGGAAUCCGAAACAUCUCGUACAGCGAGAAGGAGGUUGAGAGAGGACCAAAACUAUUAUUUUUCAUUUAAUUACAUUUACAUUACAUUUAUAGGUGCCUUACAUGACACUAAAAGACACCUUGCAAUAAAACAGCAAACAUUAAAUGACAAUAUUCGUUAUUAUAGCCUAAUUACUAAUACAGAAAUGGUGUGUCUUCUCAGUUUACUAUCAAACCAUUGGACAAGAAAAAGGAAGUUUUUAAAUUCUACUCCUCUCAGCUCAGAGUUAACAAACUGAUCUUACAGCUGUGUAUUGGAAACCACGACCUGUUCAUGAGGAGGAGGAAGGUGGACUCCAUAGAGGUCCAACAGAUGAAGGCUCAGGCCAAAGAGGAGAAGGCCAGGAAAAAGGUGUGUCAUUUUUCACUUCCAUUCAUUAGUUUAAUGUUUGUUGUCAUUAACCUUGUUCAUUUAUGAUUUGUUUUCUUCAGAUCUCUUGGAUUAUUCAUUUAAUGUUUAUUAUGGUAAUCAUCAAGCAUUCAUUAAAUAUAAUGAACAAUACACCUAUAAACAUUAUAAUAACACUGAGGCAUUAUAUACUAACUUAAAGGUUUAUCUUCAGUAUAGGCAGAAUAAAGUACACUAUUGUAAAAAAGUUUGGGGUCAGUAAAUUUGUAAUAAUAAUAGAAAAUUUUAAUUGAAAUUCUGUUAUAAAUUUAAAGUAAUAGAAAUUCAUAUUUUCAUU
rnacentral:lncRNA from 1 species